ensembl:snRNA U6 U6 spliceosomal RNA
GUGCUCGCUUCUACAGCAUACAUACUAAAAUUGAACGAUACAGAGAAGAUGAGCAUGGCCCCUGUGCAAGGAUGACAUGCAAAUUUGUGAAGAGCUCCAUAUUCAU